GCCGGAAGAGCUCAGUUGGGAGAGCGUUAGACAGAUGUUUACGCAACAAUAAUCUAUAAAGACCCCCGGUUCAAUCCCGGGUUUCGGCA
rnacentral:tRNA from 1 species